rnacentral:misc_RNA from 1 species
AUUUAAAUAAAAUUAAAAUACCAAUAAUGCUCAUAAAAUAAUAAUAUUUAAAAUUUUGGGGUGUUACAAAUCACAAUUAAUACAUUCAACCAAUGUAGCCUAAUAUAAUUAAGCAAGGAAGAGUGUAUUUCCUUAUUCAUGGCAAGGCAAUGAGUUGAAAUCUUCAUGGCCCUCGUGGGAAUUAAUUACCACCAUCCCAAAGGCACUUCAGCAAAGACAAGCAUCCCCAACAAGAAAGAUAUCAAGCAAUGACCAAAACCAAUCAUGGAAACCAAACUAUUGGCUCCUGCAAAGUCACCUUCUGAGGUGGCUGUGCUCAAAACGGCCACCAUCCAAUUACCUUUGCAACCGAGUCCAGCUUCAGCAAACUUGGAAUCGUUUAUGUACUUAGCGAACUGGGUGCGAGUGUAAUUAGUAAACACUUCAAUUGAAUCCAAGUUGGGCACGCAAACAGGUAACACCACACCAUCUCUGGUGUGGCUAACGUUAAUGCCACACUUGGAUAAUAAGUCAGUAUGGUUGGCUAACUGAUACGGGUUGCUGCCACUGGCCUCUUCACAUUUUUUCUCCUCUAGAUCUUUAGCAACUUCACUUGCCAGACAUUCUGCUUCCUCGUUCUUGACGAAAGCUGGGAGGUCUAAGAAUGCCCUGUGACAGUUGAGGCAUUUCAAAAGAUCACCUUCUCCAUCGUCACAGUGCACUGGAGAAGAAAGCAAGAAAAUGGCAAGAAGAAAGAGGCCAAAUUUGAGAAAGGCCAUGGAUAGCUAUCGAGCUAGAUUAAAGAACAUCUCACCA